AAUAAAGAAAUCUGUAAAAUAAGGUAGCUGUUGUACUGUUGUACUUACUGUUUAGAUGCCUCUAUACUAAAUGACUAAUAUAAAGUUAUAUCUGUAAAACAUAAGGGGCUGUUUCUAUGGCUGGGAAAGCUGAACUUUGUGUAAAACAGCUCUAGAGGAACUAUAGCUUACAGCCUGCUGCACUAAGUGUCUACCACCCCAGAAAAGGGGUACUGCAAUUUCUCUGUUCUGUAUCACCCAGAGCACCCUCCCCUGGUCCACACACUUCGUGUGGAAUACUUCUGUGGUCAUAGGAGAAAGAAAUGCUGUGUGAGAGGAUAAAUACUCCUUGCAGAGUGGUGUUUAUCUGUUAACGUUGGGAGUUAGUAGCUUCACCUGUUCUAGGAAAGAUUUUUCUUAGAGGUUCAGUUUUACCUGAUGCUAACUCAAAGGAUUCAGAAGGUAUAAAGAAGUAUUUAAAGAAUAAAGAAGCCUUAGAAUUCAUCAGUGCUAAUAAUUAUGAACUAAAUGAAGCCUAAAUAAAGACUGGAGUCCUGUCUUUGUGCACUGACUGAGGAGCAGCCCUUAUCACAGCCUGUGACUUAACUAGAGAUCUCAGGUUAUGAGAGAACAUUUUUUAAAGAGGAAAGCAAGGCAUUAUAAAUAAAGACAAUGUGAUUCCAAUGGCA
rnacentral:lncRNA from 1 species